UACGUAGGGUGCAAGCGUUGUCCGGAAUUAUUGGGCGUAAAGAGCUCGUAGGCGGUUAGUCACGUCGGCUGUGAAAACCUGGGGCUCAACCCCGGGCCUGCAGCCGAUACGGGCUGACUAGAAUUCGGUAGGGGAGACUGGAAUUCCUGGUGUAGCGGUGAAAUGCGCAGAUAUCAGGAGGAACACCGGUGGCGAAGGCGGGUCUCUGGGCCGAUAUUGACGCUGAGGAGCGAAAGCGUGGGGAGCGAACAGG
rnacentral:rRNA from 1 species